rnacentral:rRNA from 1 species
CAGCAGCCGCGGGAAUACGAAGGGUGCAAGCGUUAAUCGGAAUUACUGGGCGUAAAGCGUGCGUAGGCGGUUUGUUAAGUCUGCUGUGAAAUCCCCGGGCUCAACCUGGGAAUGGCAGUGGAUACUGGCAAGCUAGAGUGUGUCAGAGGAUGGUGGAAUUCCCGGUGUAGCGGUGAAAUGCGUAGAGAUCGGAAGGAACAUCUGUGGCGAAGGCGACUAUCUGGGCCAACACUGACACUGAGGCACGAAAGCGUGGGGAGCAAACAGGAUUAGAUACCCGCGUAGUCCCUGUCUCUUAUAA